CCUACGGGUGGCAGCAGUGAGGAAUAUUGGUCAAUGGGCGCGAGCCUGAACCAGCCAAGUAGCGUGAAGGAUGACUGCCCUACGGGUUGUAGACCUCUUUUAUAAAGGAAUAAAGUGAGGCACUUGUGCCUUUUUGUAUGUACUUUAUGAAUAAGGAUCGGCUAACUCCGUGCCAGCAGCCGCGGUAAUACGGAGGAUCCGAGCGUUAUCCGGAUUUAUUGGGUUUAAAGGGUGCGUAGAUGGGUCGUUAAGUCAGUUGUGAAAGUUUGUGGCUCAACCCUAACAGUGCAAUUGAAACUGGCAGCCGUGAGUACAGUUGAGGUAGGCGGAAUUCGUGGUGUAGCGGUGAAAUGCUUAGAUAUCGCGCAGAACCCCGAUUGCGAAGGCAGCCUACUAAGCUGCCACUGACAUUGAUGCUCGAAAGUGUGGGUAUCAAACAGGAUUAGAUACCCUAGUAGUC
rnacentral:rRNA from 1 species